rnacentral:misc_RNA from 1 species
AAAAUGUCUAUGGUACCUAUAGAUUGUAGCCUGUCUGAUUGAUAGGUGAUAUCUGUCAAUUUUUCAAUCUUCCAUUCAUAUUUAAUCGUUCUUUCAGUCCAAGAAAAUUGUGAUGAGUAUUUUUGAUUUUAGGAUUUUUAUAAACUAAUUAUUAUUGUAUGAAUACAGUAUAAUGAAUAAGCUAAUAUAAAGACAAAUCGGACUUUCUAUUUCAUUGUGAGCGAUUAUCGUUGUCAAGAUGGCCCGGAUGACCCGCGUAGACGAUCCGCGGAAUGUUGAUUCAGAGAUGGAAGAAGGAGAAAUAGUGGACGAUUUAGAUUACCUUUCAGAUAUAUCUUCGGAAGAAGAGUUUUUGCUACGUCAAAGGUUACAAGUGCUAGAGAAUUAUAACAAUGUCCUUGAGCGAAAAAAGGCGAAACGGUCACUGGAACCAGGUACCAAGCAAAAGAAAGCAAAUGCAUUCCUGCCAGAUCUGUCGGAAAUUUCUGCAACAGAAUUGGAAGAAAAUUACAAUUUAUCCUAUAGUGUUACUAAAUCUUACAAACAUGUCAAAACACAUCAUAAGCAAAGGCGGAAAAAAGAUCAUGUUGCAAGAGCUCUUGCAAAAGGACAUAACAUAAUCAAAGAUGGGAAAAAGAAAACUCAUAGGAACAGAAAGAAGAUUGCAGAUUCAUCUGAUUCCAGUGAUGAGACUGGUAGUGAGUACAGGAAUAAAAGAAGAAAACUGGCAAAUGCAGUUAUUGUGAAUAAAGAGAAAGUCGAUAAAACAUCUUUAAGUGCUAGAUUAAAAACCAUGCUUGGUUCAACACAAGACUCUAUACAUGAAAAAAGUGCCAUUACACAGAAAAAAGAGGCUGAAACAGAAAAUAAUGUUAUUCAAGAAAACAAUAAUGUUAUUGAUUCAAUUUUGUCUCCAGUUUCAUCUAAAAAUGAUGAAGAGUUCUUAGUUCCUGCAGAAGUUAAAGAUAAAUUAUGUGAUAAAAAUAUUGAAAGCAUAUCCAACAACUGCGAAUUAAUAGACCUAUGUAGUGAUGACGAUAAGAUAGCUCAUAAUAAAGAUUGUUUUAAUUCUAUAGUUUGUUCAAAUAAUCAAGGAAUUGAUGAAAAGCUGGAAGAUGAAAAUAUAAAUGCAAGUAAUACAGUUACUAAAAAAACUCUCGGAAAACGAAAUAGUACUUCAGAAAAAGAUUCUGAUGAUGACUUGGAACUACUCAGACAAAAUGCUCUACAAACUAAACCUUUAAAAGCUAAAACAGCGAUUGAAACUGAAAAUAAAACAUUAUCAGAAGAUGAAGACAGUGAUACAGCAGAGCUGAGGUUAAUUUGUUUAAAGUCAGCACUGCUUAAGAAAGCUAUUGAAAUGAAACAAAAAAAAAGAUUGCAGAAAAAGCUUUCACAGUCCAAUCUACAGGAUGAUUUUUUAAAUGAACAACAUAUGUUUCCAAGUAAAAUUAAUUCUGAUAAUAAUACUGAUAUUGAAUCCGUUGAUAUGGAUAUUGGUUCAGACGGAGAUGACAAGAAUAAAGAGACUGAAAAAAAUGGUAUUAAAAAUAGUGAUAUUGAACAAAAUUCUAAUCAGGAAAACAACGAAAACAACAUUAAAGAUAAUCCAAAAAUUAACUUACCCAAAGAAGACGAUUUUGAUGAGGACGAAGACUUAUUACGAGCGAAAUUACUUACAUCACUUAGUAAAAAUCUACCUAAUCUUGUCAAUUCCUCUAUACUAGAUGCUAUUCCAAAUUUCACUCCAGAAAAAACUGCACCAAUAAUUAAUCGUGUUAUAAAAAAAGUACCUGAAGAAAAAAGGUUUAUAAUUAAGCUUGGUGAAUCAGAUUCGGAAGGUGAACAUGAGGCUACAAAAAAUUUAACCAAAAUGCACAUGAAAUUAUCAGAAAAUUUAGAUUUCCAACAAAAAUUAGAUAGCUUUCUUAAAACAACUCGUAUGCAAGUGGAGAAAUCUAGUCUCCCAGAUGUUAUACAAGAAAACACAGCCCCAAAGAAAACUGAAAAAUAUGUUGCUAAGGCUGUAAAGCAUCUACCAAAGCCUGAACAGAUUGAAUAUAAAAAUUUGGUGAGGAGAAUGGCCGAGUUGGAAAAGAUAAAGCAAACUCGACAGGUUAUUAUUCACAUACACAAAUCAGUCCCUCCUAAAGACACACUGAAGCCAAGGAAUAUUUCGUUGGAGUCACAAAAAACAGUACCUGCUGAUGUAUUAGAAGAACAGAUUGCUAUGUCAAGGAAAAAAAUCGCAGAAGAGUCGGCUAAAAUGUUAAAAUUAAAGGAAGAAGCGACUAAGUUAUCACAAAAAUACAAAAUUGUUGCCACAGAGCUGCGUAACAUCGCAACUGCCAUUACAUUAAAUAAAAAACAGCAGAAAUUUGUCCAAAAUGGUUUGAACAAAAUAAGAUUGCAGCAUCAGACACUACUUAGAAGUAACACAAUAACAAAACAUUCCCAAGGAAAUAUUCAUUUCACAUCUUUGAAUAAAAUUAAUAAAAAAAUAGUUCCUCCUAUGAAAUUGCAAAAAGAAAAUGAUCCUCACAAAGAAGAUCAUAAGAAUCAACAUGCGACUCGACUAGUAAAAAUAGCUACAGCUGAAGUUAAAGAUGACAUCCAUGUUCCAAGUCCUAGAAUAUCCAUCCAAGUUGAUGUGGCUAGUAAUAAAAAAAUUGUGAAGUUGCCAAAAAGUCCAGAUAAGGAAAGACAUAUUGAUUUAAAAAGAAGUCACGUAGAAACAGAACCAGUUAUAGUUGAACACAUACACACACAGAAUGAUAUAAGGAACGAAGUCAGUCAUCCAGUAGUGGAGAAAGGUGGAGGAUACCCAAAUUUUCCAUUAUGCGAUCAUUCUACCAAAAGGCGGAAAAGUCUCGACGACUAUAAAUCUCCACUUCAAUCUUUAGAGUCAUCGAGCUGGCGAGCGGAUCCCAACGCGAUCCUCUGCCCUUUCGAGGUCGGCGGCGAGUGCAAGGACACCGACUGCAAAUACCUUCACACAAACAUUAUCACACAAUGACGCUACACGCACUCACACUCGUACACAAACACACUGCAAUACACACGCAAGUAAUCGUACAUACAUACAUGAAGAUUCAUUCCCCUUCCCCUAUCCCCCUUACGACGGCUAAACGGAAACUGCAGUCACGUUUGGUGCUGGUCCCGAAGCAGCUAUUCAUCGGCGGCAGUGGUAAGUUGCGAGUAACUUUAUAAUAGUGCAUUUGUAGUGUGCUCCAAUAAAACUAUAAUAUUUUGAAACGUCGAGACUGCAAAUGGUUCAGUGUUGUGCGUUAUAUGGAAAAUAUUUUAUUAUGAUACAUGAACGUUGUAAAAAGUUAUAAAAAAUGUAAAAAGUUUCAAAUAAACCAUUGAAAUGUAA